rnacentral:rRNA from 1 species
UACGUAGGGUGCAAGCGUUAAUCGGAAUUACUGGGCGUAAAGCGUGCGCAGGCGGUUUGGUAAGACAGAUGUGAAAUCCCCGGGCUCAACCUGGGAACUGCAUUUGUGACUGCCAGACUAGAGUCUGUCAGAGGGGGGUGGAAUUCCACGUGUAGCAGUGAAAUGCGUAGAGAUGUGGAGGAACACCGAUGGCGAAGGCAGCCCCCUGGGAUAAGACUGACGCUCAUGCACGAAAGCGUGGGGAGCAAACAGG